rnacentral:rRNA from 1 species
AGCGAACGCUGGCGGCAGGCUUAACACAUGCAAGUCGAGCGGGCAUCCUUGUGGUGUCAGCGGCAGACGGGUGAGUAACGCGUGGGAACGUGCCCUUCGGUUCGGAAUAACUCAGGGAAACUUGAGCUAAUACCGGAUACGUGCGAGAGCAGAAAGGUUUAUCUGCCGAAGGAUCGGCCCGCGUCUGAUUAGCUAGUUGGUGAGGUUACGGCUCACCAAGGCGACGAUCAGUAGCUGGUCUGAGAGGAUGAUCAGCCACACUGGGACUGAGACACGGCCCAGACUCCUACGGGAGGCAGCAGUGGGGAAUAUUGGAUAAUGGGGGCAACCCUGAUCCAGCCAUGCCGCGUGAGUGAUGACGGCCUUAGGGUUGUAAAGCUCUUUUCUCCGGGACGAUAAUGACGGUACCGGAGGAAUAAGCCCCGGCUAACUUCGUG